GCUCACUUGAGUAUUCAGAUGAUGUGUGUUUAGUUGAACUUCCAGGUGUCGUUUCCUGCCUUGAUACUCCUGGUGUUGUCUGCUCACUUGAGUAUUCAGAUGAUGUGUGUUUAGUUGAACUUCCAGGUGUGGUCUGCUCACUUGAUGCUAAUUUAGUUGUUAUUCUAGGUGUCGUUUGCUCCCUUGAUACUCCUGGUGUUGUCUGCUCACUUGAGUAUUCAGCUGACAUGUGUUUAGUUGAACUUCCAGGUGU